AUUGAACGCUGGCGGCAGGCCUAACACAUGCAAGUCGAGCGAGCGGCGGACGGGUGAGGACUGUCUAGGAAACUGCCUGAUGGAGGGAGAUAACGACUGGAAACGGUAACUAAUACCGCAUACCAUCAGAUGUAGCCAGGUGGGAUUAGCUGGUAGGUGGGGUAACGGCCCACAUAGGCGACGAUCCCUAGCUGGUCUGAGAGGAUGACCAGUCACACUGGAACUGAGACACGGUCCAGACUCCUACGGGAGGCAGCAGUGGGGAAUAUUGGACAAUGGGCGAAAGCCUGAUCCAGCCAUGCCGCGUGUGUGAAGAAGGCCUUCGGGUUGUAAAGCACUUUAAGCUGGGAGGCGUUACCCGCAGAAGAAGCACCGGCUAACUCCGUGCCAGCAGCCGCGGUAAUUC
rnacentral:rRNA from 1 species